UCUAUCCAGAUAGCUGGCAGCUCCAAGAAGGCUUUCACAGGCAGUCUACUAUGUGACUGGAGAAAGGCAUUUUUAAUUGCAGUAGAUAUCCAGAGAUUUCUGGUAUCUUUGUGGAUUCAUGAAUUCUGCUUGAUACUAGCUGCUGGAUUUUAUUCCUGGAAAUAUGAUAGUCAGCAAUGCUGCUGCUUAGACAAGGUGUAUGUGCCAGAGGCUUGAAAUUUUAGGAAGUCACUUUAAACACUUAAUUUGUUUCAUUGAAAGUCACACAGUCAGUAAUUUAGAUGCCUGUAUCAGAAUCUUCUUUGCCUCUAAACAUAAUCAGAAGUGCUUCUAUUGCUGUGACCAUAGAGGAGACCUAGUUUGUUAUGGGUGUUAUGCAACCUCAUUACAGAGACCAUCUCCCAGAACAACAGGAGCCUCUGGGGAGAAAAUGAAUGUACGAUGGGACUGAUUGACUUGUUUGGUUUUUAACCCUUAGUUUUCUGAGACUCUAUUUAAAACAAGAGUGGGGAUAAAAAGCCUAGGUGCACCAACCCCUACUAGACACUUCAAAACACAGCUGUAUGCCAUUAUAUAUACGCCUGUUUUGCAGUGAUUUCAGAUAGGAACAAGGGCAGUUCAAAUACAACCUACAAUGCUGUUAUAGUAAAAGAAAUGUAAGAGUGGUGUGACUUUUUUUUUCUUGGAAGCGAUGUUUAAUUUAUACUUAAUUUGUGCAUUUAAGGUUCCGAUAGUGAAGAGGAUGACGAUACCAAACUAAUAAUGAAAAGGAGUUUAGAAGAAACAAAGAAACAAGAAGAGGAUGAUGCAGAAUUAGAAGAAGCUAUCAAGAGAAGCCUUGAGGAAAUGUAAAUGAGAAUACUUCUGUAUGCUAAUACUUUGUCAUCAAAGCUGCUCACAAAAAUGGAAGCUUAUUCACCUAUUUACAAAGGCUUAGAAAUUCUGCUUCAAAAACAUGUCUGUAUCUUGAAUUGUUACAUCUAUAACCUCAUGUUCUCUGUAAUGCUGACGGGCAGCUGGAGUUUAUGUAUAUCUGCUGCAAUAUAUUCUGUAUGAUAAAAAAUACAUUUUUAAGCCUUUACACAUUCUGUUUCUAAUGGAUGAUGGCAAACUCUCACUGGUCUAGCUGUAUAAAUUGUUGCCCAGUCAGUGGGCUGAUGUUACUAUAUGUUUGGUUGUUUUUUGUUUUGUUUUAAUUAUUUUAUUAAUUGGUUCUUAUAUUUAAUUUUUCUGUCACAAAAUGUGAUUGUCUUUAUUUACUUUUCCAUGUGGUCUUUGCAACAGAUAAAAAUAGUAAACUCAAUUGUCUCAGACUGACUUGCUUAGCUAAUCUUGUUAUAAAGAGAAGCUUAGUUCCCAGACAUGUAAAUUGAACAUAGUCUCAACUCUUGUACAGGGAUGGUCUUGUCUUAUAGAGCACAGUUUUUUUCUAUACGUUGUCUGUUAUAAAUGGCAGAAUCAGGACCAUGAACUGCACAGAUACUUUCUGUUAUCUUUAUUUUUAUAAAUGUGUCUAUUUUUUUAAUAGUGGCAUGGAAGCGUUGGCUUGAAGUAUGCCAGGUUUGGUACCUCUUUCUGAUCUAAGGAAGGAACAAAUUUGAAAGUGAACAAAAGCUAAGUAAACUUUCCAGUUCCAGUUUGAAAUAGAUGUGAACCAAUUUCAGACGUCUAAUUCCUAUAUACUGGCCAUCUUUACUGCUCCCUUCUGUUUAUGAAGACGUGGCCUGGGAUAGGGAAAUUUUUGUUUUUGUACUGUCCUUAUUUUUAAGUGAAUAAUUCUUCUUGUGUUUAAAAUGAAGCUGUCUCUAUGCCACCUUUCUCAUUUCCUCCUUUUAAGAUACUAAUGCUAGCUGUCCAGCUUUACCAGCUUAUUCUACUUUAUGAUUGUUGUUAAUCAGUAAGAAAUAUUUAUGUAACAAAAUGCCAGCUUUUCUUUUUAUCCAUUACCUUGUGAGUUUGCUUGCAACUGUUGUAAAUCUAAAUAUUUAUUAUGCAAAAGAAAUACUUAGUUUUGGAGAGUAUGAGAAGAGGAAAGCUAGAUUUUACUUGCCAUCAGUUCCAAAGAAUUAGAAUAACUACUGUAUGUUGUUCAUGAUUAUAAAAGCUGGAAUACUGACACUGAUUUUCCUCAUGUAUUUGCUGUCUCUCAAGCAACUCAUCAGAUUCUUCACUAGUUUUUAUCUCUGAACUCAUUUGCAAUCAUACAACCUGAAGAAACAGUUGAAUCUCCAGAAAACAGAUUGAACAUUGUCAGUGAAUUGGCUCUGAAAAUGCUACAGAGUGAAGAGAAUCUCAUGAUGUUUUUUCCACUGCGUCAACUGCUUGUUUUCCCACUGUAAAUUUUGGAUUAAUAGUUCAGUUUGGGGUGUGCAGUGCCACACUGCUGCUGAGCAAGCACUGUUCUAGGAGAUGCUGAGUUGCCUUCAGCUAAUGACUCAAGCUAAAUCAAUUUCAGAAUUUUUCACACUGAGUUCUAAUAUAAAGUGGAAUGAGACAAAGCUUUCAUUAUUCCAAGUAAGAGGUUUUGGGAAGGUUUUUUCAGCACAGACACUCAAGUUGCAAAUUCUUUUCUCAUUAAAAAAUGUUUCAUCUUGA